CAUCCCCACUUUAAAUUCCUGGAGGUGUGAGUCUCCCCCAAAUUACUGCCACGUGGUGAGCUGCGGCCACCGGCCAGUACCUGUGACUCCUCAGAGCUCGCUGAUCGUCUAGCGGAAAGUCAGCGGCCUUGGACGGACCACUCCACGUCUCCCGACCUCCCGCCCCUGGAAACCGCCAUCUGUCUCUGUGUCCAUACUUAUGGAACAGCGCGGUGGGUGUCGGGCCGACAGGGACACAGCCUGCGCAGAGCCUGGACGCCUUGGCGACCGUGGAGGUCGACCCUUGGAACAUCCUUUCCGGAUAGGAUUUCUACAGUGCCCGCCCCCUGGCAUCCGCCGCGGGGCCCACCUGGGCCGGCAGGAAGGGGAAGACAGGGCAGGGCACCCCUGGGCCAGAAACAUCGGGAGGGGUCAUCUGCUUGCUGAACCCACCGACUCUCGAAGAUUGGAUCCAACAAGUCAGAGGUCACUCUUCUAUCUUUGAUCUGGGGGUUCUUUGCCUCGGGUCUAUUCUUGUCUUGCUUGGACAUGGGGUUCAUUAAACUGUCUCCUGUUCAUAUGCCA